GAUCUAGAGAUAGGCUUGAAUUCUAUGUGGAAUCAAUAGGUUAACCAAAGAACUUAAUGGGUUUUAAUUGACUUAAUGCCACGAGAGUAGGUCUUAAUUUAAUUAAAACACAUUUGUGGUGCCUUGAGAGAGGGCUUUAGACUAUUUAGGGUUAAUCUCCUUCAAAGUAAUAAUUUUUCAUUGCUUGAAUAAAUAGGAUUGAAUUCAUAGUUAAUUGGAUGUGUGAACCCCUAACUUUGGAAUGCCUUUAAUCAUCAAUGUUUGAAUUUAGUUAACUUGUUUAGAUUU
rnacentral:lncRNA from 1 species